AGAGGAAGUGUGAAAGGUAUCUGAGAUACCAGCUUAGAAAACAACUCUUUAGCUCCUCCUGGUGAUUAGGAUACCACUAAACAAUAGGAUGAAGGAUCUGUCCCCAGAGCCCAAGUGACGAUGUAUCUAAUAUUAUAUCCUAGAACAUUCACAGAGUGGCUGCAGAAUGUCUUGAGCUGGAACAUCCCCAAGAGGCCAUAUAUAUAUCCCAGGGAUUUUACAGUGGACCUCACUAGGCCGGAGUAACCGUAAAGUCAGAUGGAUAAUGAGAAUCAGGACGUUAGCCACACGUGGACUGUGGCAAAAAGAAAGUGACCCAUUGAAGAAGACUGUUUUUCAGCUCUCAUCAAUUGCUGUUUCCAGGAGCCCACAGCUCCAAUUACUCAAAAGAACGUUGACUUUUUUUUUUUUUUUUUUUUUUUUGGUAAACUAUCCUGAUUUUCAGGUUAGGCAAGCAAUUCAUUAAAAAAUAAAAGACUGCAC
rnacentral:lncRNA from 1 species